rnacentral:rRNA from 1 species
AACGAACGCUGGCGGCAUGCCUAACACAUGCAAGUCGAACGAGACCUUCGGGUCUAGUGGCGCACGGGUGCGUAACGCGUGGGAAUCUGCCCUAGGGUGCGGAAUAACUCGGAGAAAUCCGUGCUAAUACCGCAUAAUGUCUUCGGACCAAAGAUUUAUCGCCCUGGGAUGAGCCCGCGUAAGAUUAGCUAGUUGGUGGGGUAAAGGCCUACCAAGGCGACGAUCUUUAGCUGGUCUGAGAGGAUGAUCAGCCACACUGGGACUGAGACACGGCCCAGACUCCUACGGGAGGCAGCAGUGGGGAAUAUUGGACAAUGGGCGAAAGCCUGAUCCAGCAAUGCCGCGUGAGUGAUGAAGGCCUUAGGGUUGUAAAGCUCUUUUACCCGGGAUGAUAAUGACAGUACCGGGAGAAUAAGCUCCGGCUAACUCCGUGCCAGCAGCCGCGGUAA